rnacentral:rRNA from 1 species
GACGAACGCUGGCGGCGUGCUCACCCAUGCCAGUCGCACGGAAAGGCCCUGCUUUUGUGGGGUGCUCGAGUGGCGAACGGGUGAGUAACACGUGAGUAACCUGCCCUUGACUUUGGGAUAACUUCAGGAAACUGGGGCUAAUACCGGAUAGGAGCUCCUGCUGCAUGGUGGGGGUUGGAAAGUUUCGGCGGUUGGGGAUGGACUCGCGGCUUAUCAGCUUGUUGGUGGGGUAGUGGCUUACCAAGGCUUUGACGGGUAGCCGGCCUGAGAGGGUGACCGGCCACAUUGGGACUGAGAUACGGCCCAGACUCCUACGGGAGGCAGCAGUGGGGAAUAUUGCACAAUGGGCGGAAGCCUGAUGCAGCAACGCCGCGUGCGGGAUGACGGCCUUCGGGUUGUAAACCGCUUUCGCCUGUGACGAAGCGUGAGUGACGGUAAUGGGUAAAGAAGCACCGGCUAACUACGUG